rnacentral:rRNA from 1 species
AUUGAACGCUGGCGGCAGGCUUAACACAUGCAAGUCGAGCGGAAACGAUGGGAGCUUGCUCCCAGGCGUCGAGCGGCGGACGGGUGAGUAACGCGUAGGAAUCUACCCAGUAGAGGGGGAUAGCCCGGUGAAAACCGGAUUAAUACCGCAUACGCCCCACGGGGGAAAGGCCGGGAUCUUCGGACCGGUCACUAUUGGAUGAGCCUGCGUAAGAUUAGCUAGUUGGUAGGGUAAAGGCCUACCAAGGCGACGAUCUUUAGCUGGUCUGAGAGGAUGAUCAGCCACACUGGAACUGAGACACGGUCCAG